rnacentral:rRNA from 1 species
AUGAUCAACUGGGGAGAGGUUUCUACCUCGUUUUGGAAAAAAAUCUGGAAGAUAGUGGUACCUAACAGAUACUUAGUCUUUGUGUGGUUGGCUUUUAAUAAUAGAAUUCUUACCAGAGGUAACCUGAACAAAAGGAGGGUGGUAGAGGACUUAACCUGCUUAUACUAUAAUGAAAAUGAAUCAGUCCACCAUUUGUUCUUUGAAUGUGUGGUAGCUAAACAGAUUUGGUGUGAUGUUGCUAAAGCUUUUGGUUUCAAUGUGCCUAGAAAUAUGACUGAGCUCUCUUCCUUUUGGAAUAUGAAUAGCAAGAAAAUUGUCAUUAACAUUGCUUGUGUUGCUGCCAUUUGGGGCAUUUGGACUAUGUGUAAUGAUAUCUGUUUUCAGGGUGUACCAUGGACAAGCACUCGCGUGAUCUUGGGGAGGAUCAACUCUUCUCUACACCAAUGGAAAGUUCUAUGCGAGGGCGAUCAAUCAGUGCUGCUACGAUGCUGCCUCCAGCUCCUGGACCGUCGAAGAGGCAAGCUGCUCAGAAUCGCCUGGGUUGGGAACUGA